rnacentral:lncRNA from 1 species
AUUUUCGCAUCUAUUUCGUGCAGAAACGACUCCGACUCAGUCCGACACUCUCCAGACGUGUCUACCAGUCACAAAAACUAUAGCCAAUCCUAUCCAAACCUCUGGAACACUACAUCCUCCCCUAUUACAAAAAGUUUCGAUCGCGAAACUGAAAUAUACCUCAAUCCUGAGCCACAAAAAGGUAGGGGUAGGACUCUUUUAUCACCGCCUCCGGCUCUGAAGUCGCCUCCCGUUCCU